UUUUUUGUCCAUUUUGUUUUACAAAUCCUUAAUAUAACUAAUGCAUUAUUUAUGAUUAAUAAAAUAUUACUAUAACAAUCAUCGAAAUCUUUGAAUAACCGCUACCGAAUCAACUUUUUGUAUAGUGGAUAACCGAUGCGCAACCACAACGGUUGUCUUUCCAACCAUUAACCGGUCAAGUUAAAUCUUUGAAUAUGCCACAUCGAGUUGAACCUGGCUUAGAAUAUACCAAUUAAACCACUCAAGUUAAAUAAAAAAAACUAACCAUCUUCAAAUUAAUAAAAAAAAAAAAACGUUAUGAUGAAAUCAACUUUAUCAUAUCUUUACUCUUUAAACAUUGUUGUCAUAGACCAAAUCACUUUCUAAAAGUUUUUAUUUUUUUGAGAAAAAGGCGAUUUUAUACGAAACAAGAGUAGGCCUGAGGAAGAUGCUCAGGCAUAUAGUAGUACAAUACAAAAAAAAAAUUAAAGAUAAGAAUUACAUCGGGAAAUUGCUGAAAUUAAAAGUUCUCCAUUUAUCCCAUUCCAGAUCUGCAUAUCCCGCCCUUGUUUUGAUCCAGAGAAAAUAAUCGCCUUUAUGACUCCCAUAAUCUUUGUUGCCUGCACCUGUCUGCCAACACUCAACAGUCACUUGCAUAAUUUGUAUUUCAUAUGUAAGCACAAAAUCUCAUACAACAAAGAGAGAAGCCAAGAGAAACAAUAGGGCGGGUAGAAAUAUUGCAAGAAAUUAUGAAGACAACUUUUUUAGUGGAACGAUCUAAGAAUUAACCAACUUAUAUGGGUCAAUGCAUUUAAUUAGUGGAUCAAGUGUUAUACCAGUCGGAUCCGACAAUCCCUAUACGGAUCAAACCCUUGCCAAGUUACGAAGGGACAAAACAAACUGACGCAAAACAACCAAAUUAUGGCCAACCAAGUGGAGCAUUUGCGGUUUCCGACUGGUCGAAAACUCUACUGAGUACCUGUUCACGUAAUUGUUAGUUGCACAUAAUAUUAAAUGGUAUUAUGAGAAUCUCAAUUAUCCAAAUGUGUAGUGCAAGAUAAUACAAUAUCAAUGCACAAAACCAUUACUAUUAGUAUCCGCUUUCUGUAUCAAUGCAUCCAGUUAAUCAGGGCUCGGUGUAAGGGCCUAAUGAUCGUAACAACGAACCCAGUUCGAGUUGCGUGAGGCUGCCGAAAUCUAAACAGUAAAAUCACCACAGACUAUUAGAAAAAGCAACAUUAAAUGGCUUAGUUACCUUUAUAUCGCGAUGAACUCUGUAUCCUCCAGUGUAUGUGUCAAGAAACCACAGUCGCUGAGCACAGUCGAUCAACAUAUUAAAUCCAAAACUUUAUGAAGCCAUUUAUACUUCCAUAUUCAUUUAGUUAUUGAGCCCGAGCUCGAGCCUGAAAUACAAAGCUUGUUUAAGGAUUUAAUGGCACCUCUUUUGCUACUUCAACAACAGGGCCUUCACAACAGGAGGUGCUACCACUGGUGGCGGAUACAUGUUGAAGGAAAAAUAUUGUAACAUCACAUAAAGAAUAUUUUUCAAUUUAAGCAUACUCGAAUUUAGAAGAACAGGCAGUUCGAAGCGAGAUUUUCAAAUCAUUACAUAGCAUAUAAAUUGUACCAGAGAGGGUUCAUCUUCAUCUUCCCAUGAAUCUUUUAUACAAUCUUCAUCAUCUCACAUGCUUUCAGGGUCCUUUUUUAUAUCAAGUGCGGUUGGCUCAUCCUUUGACAUUCAAUUUAAAUAGUUGAAACAUGUGAAUCAAUAUCUCUUCUUCCGUUUUACCAGCUUUUCUACUGCCUCCACCACAAGCCUUUUGUUUUCAAGCAAUGUCUCUUCAGAAUCAUCACUUUUCUUUAUUUCCUGAGCAAGAACAAAACUUUACACCAAUGUAACACAUACAUAGUUCAUACUGUUAUCAUACUUCCACAAUAUUAAUGCAUAGCCCAAUGUGAACACUAAAUCAAGAACAUCUCCUUUUAAAAUAUAGGUAUUGUUUGAUUCCAAAAAAGCAUAUUCAUCAUACUACUAAGGUUGCUCAUGGUCCACUUCAGCCGGUUAUAACGAAAAACUCUAGGCUAGACUACUAACUAUUGUUUCGAAAAACAAGUAAACAACAAACCAGACCAGCCGGAUUGAAAGGGUCGGCUAGACCGGCUGUUUUACCAGUUUAGUUUCGGCAAUUUGGAUGGGUGUUUUCUUUUCAAUAUCCUUGGUUUGUAUCAAAAAGUUACAUUGAUAAAGAUGAUCAAUAAUUAAGAUACAUACACAUAACCACAAACUUAAAAGUG
rnacentral:lncRNA from 1 species